UUCUCACCAUUCCAAGGACAGUUUGAACUUAUUUCAGACUGUAGAAACAUCUGCGCUCAGUUGGAAGUUGGUGCAGGAAAUCACAGAGAACCACGGAAUCAUUUCAAAGAGAUACUCCCAAGAAUUUGGCACUAUCUGCAAUGCUACUCAGGAAAGGAAAUGGAUGGGUUUUUUAUUUCAUCUGCAUUUUUGCUAUUGCUGUUUCGGUUUCUGUUGCCUGUGACAAAGAACUAAGUGAUCAUGACUGUCCUCCCAAGCCCAUAACUGUGGCGGAAGGUGAAUCGGUGAAAAUACCCCUCUCUGCUUCUGGAAUAAUUGCAAACGUCUGCAUUUGGAAUAACAUUACAUUGAUCUGGGAAACUGCGUGCCAUUUUUUUCACAGUGUUUGCCAACCACUUCUUCCUUAUUUCAGAGAGGACAUUUCCACAAAAGGAAAAACAUUUGAACUAAAAAAUGUUAGCUACAAAGCCAGUGGGCUUUACAGGCUUAUAAAUAGUUCUGAAAACUGUAUAGUGUCAAUGCAGAUCUCUGUACUAAGUAAGUUUGUAAAGGUGUUAUUUAGUGUGCAGAUGCUGAGGUUGGGUCUGCUGGGGGAGAGGGGAACGCCAUUGAUCCAACUCCCAUUUUUUUACAACUCCUGAUUACCCAAAAAUCAUGGCACAUAGUUGAGAAGUGGCAGUCUGAUUGCUAAUUCUUUUCCUGUUAAAUGUUUUUUUUAUUUAUAUAGUACUAAAAUCCCUGUAUCUGUUGGAUUAUUUGUAAUUGUCAAUUGGGCAAAACAGUGUGUUGUAAGGAAACAAUUUUUGAAUCAAGGCACCUUUCAUAGAACUAACUUAAAGAAUAUGUCCAAAAUCCAGAAACGAUAAGUCCCCUGGGACUGAAAUUGGGCAAAGCUGUGACUACUUCAAAGCUGUCAUACCAUCACUGCCCUAGUCAUCUGCUGUAUUGUGUUCAUUAUUUCUAAUACUUCCUGCCAGCUUCCUACUAGGCAAAUCAAUGGGGAAGAUGGUAGGAAGUCAAAAGUCGCUCUCAUUGAUUUUUUGAUUGCCCAUAGUCAUUCCGUUUUGGGUUUUUUUAAGAUAAACGCAAUAUAUUUGAAACAGUCACCCAACAGGUCACAGGUUAUCUACCGUUUAAAAAUUUCCCUCAAAAUAUACAAGCAGUCCUCAAAACAGAAUCGUAAUGGAGCCUGUCCAUUAUAAGUCAUGGCGGCGGUAAAGGGGUCACCCAUGUGACUGGCCUGAUUUUAUGGCCUUUUUAGUGCCAGUCAUUAAGCAAACAAAUUGUUUGCGAUGGACCAGUUUUGUGAAAAUGAUAAUAUUGCUUUACAGGCCUCUCUAAGCAGUUGACAGAGCCAGCCUAUUGCCCUCAACAAUCUGGGUCCUCAUUUUACCCGCCUCGGAAAGAUGGAAGGAUGAGUCAACCUUCCUGAAUCAACCAAAAGUUAUAAAACAUGCCCAUGUGAUUGUAGGAUACUGCAAAUGGUUAUAAAUGCAGGCUGGUUAUUAUGCUCCCAAAGUAUAGCCAUGUGACUGGGGAUGGGGUAUGUGUGGUCUUGGGGAGAUCCAUCAUAACUAAGUUGAUGGCUAUUAAGUAGAUAUAAUGGAUUCGUCCAGGAACAUCUGCAGAUUAUAGUUUAAAAGAUGAUGUCCACAACUGCGCAGUCUAAUCUCUGAUGGGUUUUUAUGUGAACUGAUGCACAUUAAAAAAUAGGCAUAGCUUCAUAUACUUUUGUGACUGCCAUCUUGAAUUCCUUGAUCAUACCCUGAGGGCAGCCAUGGAUUCAGAAGACCAGAAGGUGCAAGAUUGUGAUACACUAUUUUCGCUCUUUUUUCCCCCCUCAUUCUCCUCCCUUGUUUCUUCCAGGCACAAGACCUACCACUUCCUCUCCUCUUUCCGGAACCUCCAGUAUCCAAUUGGCAAAAUGGAAUGGUGUGGUGUGGCUCUGCUCUCUAGCAACAAUUCCAAUAUUAGCAAGUUUCAAUUAUCUAUGAAUGCACUGAAGACACCGCUUGCUGGCCUUGACGGACUUUCCUAUGCAUCUUAUUCUAUUUUUAAGUUAUUUUCUUACUGUGCAAUAUAGACUGUUCAUAGAGCUGAGGUGGUGCAGUGCAGUGGUGGGUUGUAGGCGGUACGACCUUGGUAAGCUACAAUGUGAUUUCUUUGGUAGGUACUAUUGCUUGCUCAAUAAAUUAUGGAUGAAAUAAAUCAACAGUACUGAAUCUUUCAUCUGAUGUGGAGAAGGACAGGAUGCAUAAAAUUGAAGUCCAAUCUAUGAUAAUGGGUUUAAACAAUGGCAAAUAAUAAGCAGGUUCACCUAACUCAAAAAACCACAGGUUGCUUCACCAUGUUUCAUUAAAUAAACCACAACUGGCUAGAUUCAUAAGGAAGUACCAAGCUGAACCCUGACAGUGAAUUAAACCAGGAAAAUUUUCUGGCUUAGACCAGAAUGCAUAACUUUGGAUCCCAGAGCUGCCUUUGCACCCAUCACAAAAUCCUGAGGGUCACCUCCAGUGACCACCAAACAUUUUCAGAGUAUGGCCCCCAUACCUC